GACGAACGCUGGCGGCGUGCCUCCUACAUGCAAGUCGAACGCAGUGGGCACGGGUGAGUAACACGUGGGUAACCCCCCAUCAGCGGGGAUAACACUUGGAAACAGGUGCUAAACCGAUACUGAUUGAUGUCCCCGCGGGGCACUAGCUGGCGGGUGAGGUAACGGCUCACCAAGGCCACGAUGCAUAGCCGACCUGAGAGGGUGAUGGGCCAAACUGGGACUGAGACACGGCCCAGACUCCUACGGGAGGCAGCAGUGGGGAAGCUUCGGCAAUGGACGAAAGUCUGACCGAGCAACGCCGCGUGAGUGAAGAAGGUUUUCGGAUCGUAAAACUCUGUUGUUAGAGAGGCGGUAUCUAACCAGAAAGCCACGGCUAACUACGUGCCAGCAGCCGCGGUAAUUC
rnacentral:rRNA from 1 species